CAAACAAAACCCAAUUUGGAAACACACAACAGCUUCCCUUACUUUUAAUCCAAAUAUCUACAGUUUAAGAAAAAAGUUACCCACCUUCCUCAGGUUUCCCAGGACUGAAGUGGCAAAGAAAUCAGGAUGACCAGUCAAUCCAUAACUGCCUCAGAUAACAGCUCACAUCAAAUGGGAUUCAGAUACCAGUAAAACAUUCAUGAAACUCCUCAGACACAUCAGAAUUAGAGGAGUGUCAAAAGUGAAAAUAACGGGAAUCCUGGAGUUUUAGGGAUGUGAAAGAACCAACUUUUUUACUGUGAUGGUUGGCCUUGUGACAAGAGGCCUCAACAAACCUUAAGUUAACUGAAAACCUGAUAAAUCAUCCUAAAUCAGAUAAAGCCUUCUGACAUUUUCAGCCGCAAGAUAACCUAAGGUUACAAACUUGGUUGAUUUUAACCCAAAGAGAGCGAAAAGGCUACUCUAGCAUGACAUACUGUAUCUCUGCAUUGUUAAAUUUAACUGAAUAUUCAGUUAUAAAGUAGAAAAAACGCAAAAGAUUCCCUGCCUGUCAGAACCAAAUAGUUAUUUUUUUCUUUUGCAUUUUUCAACCACAACAAUUGGUCCUUUUCUCUGUAAUGGUUAAGCACAUGACAUCUUGGUCUGUCAGCUUCAUGUGGCGAUGGUGACCAAACACGAGCCCCUAGCACAGUGGUUCUCAAGUCCAGUCCUUGAGGCCCACUGUCCUGCAUGUUUUGGAUGUUUCCCUGCUCCAACACACCUGAUUCAAAUGAUCAGCUCGUUAUUAAGCCAUUACAGAGCUUGAUAACGAGCUGAUCAUUUGAAUCAGGUGUGUUGGAGCAGGGAAACAUCCAAAACAUGCAGGACAGAGGGCCUCGGGGACUGGACUUGAGAACCACUGCCCUAGGUGACAUAAACAGAGGCUGCUACAAAAUGACUGGGUACAUUCAUGAGCUCUUUCAAAAGUGUGAUAUCUAAGCAAAUUACAAUAAAUAAAGCAAAUCCUGAGAUUUGUAGAAUAAUCAUGUAUUCAAAUUGACGAUAGCCCCUUAAAGAUGGUAUCAUAAAUGAUCCACCUAAACAAGACUUCUCUGAUUUAUCUUCACUGUGAAACACACAGGUCUGGUAGUGUGUUUUAGUGGCUAAUGAGAAGAA